rnacentral:lncRNA from 1 species
CCCAACACUUAAACAAAGCAAAACCUCCAUUUCAUUAAUUUCCCCCAAUCCUCUUGAACGACAGAAAAUCCUUGGAGGUGAAUCUGAAGUUCAAAAAUAGCUUCCAUCGCCGCCCGGAACUUCUCCUUUUAAACGCCACCUUUGGAUCCAAUAAAGUCAUCGCCACCCAAACACCACCACCACUGCACAAUCCCCACCCACGAACUGAAAAACACAUCCAAAAACCCUCAUUAGAUUGUGGAGCUGCAAAUCGACCACAAUAUGUGACAAGGCGUAAUCGACAAUGAGCAUCGCUAUGGGCAGCUUAUAAUGCUUGGGCUGGACUAUCUUUCCACUAAGAAGGGAUGCCCGUUGGGAAGGUUAUAAAUAUCUACACGAAUGCAGAGAGAAGAUGGGGGGCUAAUUUGGGGAAAAGACAUACUUGCAAAGUUGCUGGAGAUAAAAGAUGAGCUGUUAGGAAUUAAAAAGAAGGGAAGCAAACAUAUAUAUGGGAGAUUUGCGACUGUUGAAAAUGAGAAAACAUAGGGUUGCUACUGGGAUAAUUAAAAAGCAGUAGAGAAGAGAUGGAAAAUUUUCAAAUUCUUGUAAAUAAAUUUAUCAAUUAUUGUGCAAAAAUUGGGAAAUUAAUCAUGUUUCGUCAAAAUUUGUGUUCUUCACUUUUGUAUAUGGGAAGACACUGUAAUUUUCAUCUACUACUAUCAAUGUGACUUUAGUAUUUGUCCUUCAUUUGUUGGUGUUAAAUU